UACGAAGGGGCUAGCGUUGUUCGGAAUCACUGGGCGUAAAGGGCGCGUAGGCGGCUGUUCAAGUCGGGGGUGAAAGCCUGUGGCUCAACCACAGAAUUGCCUUCGAUACUGGACGGCUCGAGACCGGAAGAGGUCAGUGGAACUGCGAGUGUAGAGGUGAAAUUCGAUAGAUAUUCGCAAGAACACCAGUGGCGAAGGCGGCUGACUGGUCCGGUUCUGACGCUGAGGCGCGAAAGCGUGGGGAGCAAACAGG
rnacentral:rRNA from 1 species